rnacentral:rRNA from 1 species
GAUGAACGCUAGCGAUAGGCUUAACACAUGCAGGUCGAGGGGCAGCAUAAUUUUAGCUUGCUAAGAUUGAUGGCGACCGGCGCACGGGUGCGUAACGCGUAUGCAACUUACCUUAUAGAGGGGGAUAGCCCGUUUAACGACGGAUUAAUACCGCGUAUACAAACAGCUCGGCGUCGAGUAAUUUGGAAAUGAAUUUCGCUAUAAGAUAGGCAUGCGUCCCAUUAGCUAGUUGGUGAGGUAACGGCUCACCAAGGCGACGAUGGGUAGGGGAACUGAGAGGUUGAUCCCCCACACUGGUACUGAGACACGGACCAGACUCCUACGGGAGGCAGCAGUGAGGAAUAUUGGUCAAUGGACGUAAGUCUGAACCAGCCAAAUCGCGUGAAGGAUGACUGUCUUAUGGAUUGUAAACUUCUUUUAUACGGGAAUAAUCACAGAUACGUGUAUCUGUUUGAAGGUACCGUACGAAUAAGCAUCGGCUAACUCCGUGCCAGCAGCCGCGGUAAUACGGAGGAUGCGAGCGUUAUCUGGAUUUAUUGGGUUUAAAGGGUGCGUAGGUGGUCUGAUAAGUCAGCGGUGAAAUCUCCGAGCUCCACUCGGACACUGCCGUUGAAACUGUUAGACUUGAGUGUAGAUGAGGUAGGCGGAAUGCGUGGUGUAGCGGUGAAAUGCAUAGAUAUCACGCAGAACUCCGAUUGCGAAGGCAGCUUACUAAGGUACAACUGACACUGAAGCACGAAAGCGUGGGUAUCAAACAGGAUUAGAUACCCUGGUAGUCCACGCUGUAAACGAUGAUUACUGGGCGUAUGCGAUAUACAGUAUGCUCCUAAGCGAAAGCGUUAAGUAAUCCACCGGGGGAGUACGCCGGCAACGGUGAAACUCAAAGGAAUUGACGGGGGCCCGCACAAGCGGAGGAACAUGUGGUUUAAUUCGAUGAUACGCGGGGAACCUUACCUGGGUUUAAACUUUGAUUGACCGUCCAAGAGAUUGGAUUUCCCUUCGGGGCAAUCAUUUAGGUGCUGCAUGGUUGUUGUCAGCUCGUGCCGUGAGGUGUCGGCUUAAGUGCCAUAACGAGCGCAACCCCUGUCUACGGUUACCAUCAGGUUAUGCUGGGGAUUCAGUAGAGACGCCAGUCAAAGGGGUGAGGAAGGGGGGGAUGACGUCAAAUCAGCACGCCUUUUACAUCAGGGUACCACACGUGACAAUGGUAAGUACAAAAGGAAGCAACACAGGGAACUAGGUGCAAUUCUCAAACCCUCAUCUCAGUCCGGAUCGGAGUCUGCAACUCGACUCCAUGAAGUCGGAUUCGCUAGUAAUCGCGGAUCAGACAUGCCCCGGAAAUACUUUCCCGGCCU